rnacentral:rRNA from 1 species
AUACGGAGGAUCCGAGCGUUAUCCGGAUUUAUUGGGUUUAAAGGGUGCGCAGGCGGGAGAUUAAGUCGGCGGUGAAAUUUUUCGGCUCAACUGUAAAAGAGCCUUUGAAACUGGUUUUCUUGAGUGUAGAUGAAGGAGGCGGAAUUUGAUGUGUAGCGGUGAAAUGCAUAGAUAUCACGAGGAACUCCGAUUGCGCAGGCAGCUUACUAAACUACUACUGACGCUCAGGCACGAAGGCGUGGGGAUCAAACAGGAUUAGAUACCCUGGUAGUCCACGCAGUAAACGAUGAUUACUAGCUGUUUGCGAUACAAUGUAAGCGGCUGAGCGAAAGCGUUAAGUAAUCCACCUGGGGAGUACGUUCGCAAGAAUGAAACUCAAAUGAAUUGACGGGG